rnacentral:lncRNA from 1 species
UCUGGCUCAGAUGCACAUCUAGCGAAGUCAAAGGAGAAAUUCUAACAUGAUAUCUGAUCUCAGCUCUCUGGUCCAGAAUGAAUGUGUUGGCUUUAGUAAUUUGCUAAACUGCUUCUGGAUUGAAAGAACUAGUUUAAUUUAUUUAUCUAUUCUAAAACCAUCCAUUGUCUAUUUACUAUAUGCUAAGCCCUGGACUUUUGCUUGAGAAUACUAAGAAAAAUAAUACCUAUUUCCUACCUUUAAAAGAAUCAUAGUCUAGGGAGAGAGAGAGACAAAAUCAUGUACGGCCGGCCUCACUAGGAUGUGAUCAGUACUCUAGAGGAGACAAAGAGCUAUAAGAGCCUACAAGAAGGAGGGAAUAAUGCUGCAUGGGAGGAAGUGGGAAUUGAGAAAGCUGCUGCAGUGGAAAUGCUGGCCUGCUGUCACCUACAAUAUGCUACUCAGAAGUGGAAGUCCUAUGGCAUAGUUUUGGAUUAUGUUCCUGGAAGCCCAGAAUCAAGUCUGGUUCUAUAGCCUUCUAAUUGUUUCUUUAAGUCACGCAAAAUCUUUUUAUAGCUUUUCUCUCCCAUCUCCACCCCCCAAGUUCAGGCAGAAUCUACUUCUGUUGCUUAUAACAAAGAACCUUGACUAUUGCCAUAGAGAUUGAGAGUGGGAAAAGAAAGUGUUGAGAGAAUCAUUGGUCAUAAGGAGACUGAAAUCCGGAUAAGGAGGCCACAGUGUGUGGGGGCAUUUCAGGACUGGAGGCAAAGCAAAGUUCCUUGAUUAUCAGCAGCACAUAUGAGCCUAACUCUACGUAGACCAAGUGGGAGCAACCACUUCUCCAUGGAUACUGCUUUAGGGUAUGCAGUGACCAGGCGGGCCAGGGUGCAUCUUAGCAGACACAGUGAGAACAGAGGUCAAUGCCCAGACCAAAUGAGAUAAGUUAUACGAUCAGAGGAAAUCACAAGGACCAGAUACUUCCUGCCCUUUGAUAACUGGAAAUUUAAAUUUAUCUGUACCUAGAGGCCAUGAUGGAAAGAAGGAGUUGGAGGGAAAGCACAAAUCUGGAAAUGAGUAAUUACUCUAAAUAGACUAUUUUCCAAUAAAGUCACUAUGAUAUGUUUGUUGGCAAAGUUGGAAAAGCAGCUUGAGAGCCAAGAUGAGGUCAGCUUCUUGGGGCCAGAGUUCAGAAAGAAGAAAGAAUUUGGAGGAGGAAAUGGAAGAUGUUCAACACAGGUCAAAGAGCAAGAGUGAAGGGUGGAAUUACCUGAUUUGCUUCAUAUCAUGACUUGGAAAUGUGAUUUUGGCAGCACCAAGAUCAGAUCCAUUUCAUGGGAGAAGAUUCUCAGAAACCAAAUUCAAAACACCGAUGAUCUAAAGUCAGAAUAAUAACUUAAUAAUUCACAACGAGAAAAGAAAAAAAUCUCACAUGAGAUGGGAUACUUGUAUUGACAUCAAUGUUCUUUGCUCCUGGUGGUCAGGAAUCUUCUGACAUCUUCAACUGCUCUGUGAAAUCUACUGUAAAAUGCUGCCACACCAGACAUUUUAGUGACUCCAGAAUGUCCUGACUCAGGAACAAGGAAACAUUUUGGACCACAAAGCAAUUCUAUUGUAGUGAAUAUCCUCCAGUUUUGAAUCUGUUAACAUUCUGAAUUUGAUAUCUUUUCUCUAACACCUGAAGAUCUUCUCUGAUGAUUCUGGCUUCUUUCCUUGUGCCUCUGGCUUCCUGUUCUUCUCUCUUGGUUCCCUGAAUACGUGUGCUUCUGAAUACUUGCUCAUCAGUUGACCUUCAUUUUGAACCUGGAUGCAAGCAUUGUGUUCACAUGUUGUUUUCCCUUUCUCUCUGAUAUGCAGACUUCGGACCUACCCAUUGUCACUUCUAAGUUCCCCAAAGUGCAACACAUUUUCCAAAAGGAAA